rnacentral:lncRNA from 10 species
CUAAUUUUUUUUGUACAAUUGUUUGUACAUUUUUUGAAGUGACUACCCUUUUCCACUAAAUUAUCUUUGCUCCUUUGUCAAGAAUCAGUUGAUUUUUUCCUUUGAUUGAGAAGUUACAUGAAGAAAUACCAAUUAUUGCUUUCAUGCAUUAUAGGCUAAUUGAUAAUGUAUAAUGAACUUUUGUUAGGUAAUUAGAACAUUUGUUUUAGCACUGAUUAAAAUGAAAGGGUGAAGAGGAAUAAGAAAAGAGAUAUUAAUAAAGAAUGAAGUAAACUGGUAUCAUAUCUGGCUCUACACUAAGUUUAUGGAAUAAAAGUGGCUUGAUCCUAUACCAAGUUAAGAAGACCAAAGGAAGGAAGCAUCCAAACACUCUACACAUUUAUUGUGAGCUGGAGUUAAGAGUGGACUUGGAGUAGAUGUGAGGUCAGGCUGUCUGUACUGGGGCUGCACAUCAGAUGAACUAGCAUGUGAAGGUUAAUUCAUGUGUCAACUCGGCUGGGCCACAGGGUGCCCGUGUAUUUGGUCAAACAUUAAUACAGGUGUUUCUCUGUGGCUGUGUUUGGAUGAGAUUAACAUUUAAGUUUGUAGACUGAACUACGCAGAGUGACCUCGUCCAAUCAGCAGAAGGCCUGAAUAGAAUAAAAAGGUGACCUUCCCUAAGUAAAAAAGAAUUCUUCCUCUGUGUUGACCUUCAGAGCAGGACAUCAGCUUUUCCCUGCCUUUGGGCUCUCUGGCUUCUCAGGCCUUCAGACUUGGAUUGGAACCAGACCAUCUGCUUUCCUGAAUCUCCAACUUGCCAGCUAACCCUGCAGACCUUGGGGCUUGCCAGCCUCCAUAAUUCCUUGAGCCAAUUCUUUAUAAUCGCUCUCUUUAUACAUAUACACAUCCUAUCAAUUCUGCUUCUCUGGGGAACCCUGAGUAGUACAUCAAGUUUUCUUUUAGUUUUCUGUUCUGUAAACAUACAUUGCCACUUUGUGGAAGAGACACAUCAUCGUGGCAGAAGAGGAUUCUUUCUGGUCGAAAGGCUGAGUCUACAACUGGACCACGACCCCCUCAUCCCUCUCCUACCUGAUAUCCUAGGAUAGAAAGCCACAGCCACGCAGGCUGGGGAAGCCUGAGUCACACACCUGAGUAUGUUUUGGUUUGCUGCCAUUGCCCUUCUGGGCUAUGUUAAUUUGCAGUAUCAGCUAAGCCAGCAAGGUUUUUCUGAAUAAGGAAAACAGGAGCAGGGUUCCCACAUGAGCAAUGUGAGACUUGGGAAGUGGACCACCACCUUGCCUCAUUCCUACCCUUGUGAGUGCUGGCCUUGACUGAUUUUAGAAUUGCUACAAGAGAAGCUAACCUCUGCAAUUCAACAGGGUCCCAGAUUUGGAGCCUUGGAAGCGAAUUUGCUCAAGGCAAAGAUCCAAGUUUUCAUUCUGCUUGAACGGAAGAGAGAGAGUAAAAGAGAAAAAUGGCUGCAUUGAGGACAGAAGACAGACUCCAUUUCACCUCCGUCUGUGUUAGCAGUUAAUUUCUUCUCAAGAGGGACAUUAAGUCUUUUUACCUGGCAGACAGGCUAUGGCUGUUUCAACCCAGUGUGGGCCAUGGAAUGGAAUGAAUGAUUAGAUUUUGCAUUAGUCGUAGAAAGACAAGGUGUGCAUUAUUUUCCCUUGCAUUUCGUCAUGAAAUAUAGGCUGUCCUUCCACUGAGUAUUUGCUUAACCAGGUCAUAGGAAUUCUUAAUUCAAAAAGAGGAAAAAGCAACGUCUGAGAGCGAGGACCAGCACAUUUGAGAACAUUUGCAGGUGAUUCUGGACAGCAGGGACACACUUGUUUACUCGCUGGACUUCACCAAUAUCUUUGCUCACUUUCAUCAGUCUUCCCGGCCAGUACUCACCUUCCGCUGUGACAAAUAAUUUUUGUGAAUUUUAUGUUUCAGAAGAAAAUUGUACAUUUCUUUUCUUUCUUUCCUUUUUUUUUUUUUUGGAGACAGAGUCUUGCUCUGUUGCCCAGGCUGGAGUACAGUGGCAUGAUCUCGGCUCACUGCAGCCCUCACCUCCUGGGUUCAAGCAAUUCUCCCACCUCAGCCCCUCAAGUAGCUGGGACUGCAGGCGCCCGCUACCACACCCGGCUAAUUUUUGUAUUUUUUGUAGAGAUGGGGUUUCACCAUGUUGGCCAAGAUGGUCUUGAUCUCCUGACCUCAUGAUCUGCCCACCUUGGCCUCCCAAAGUGCUGGGAUUACAGGCAUGAGCCACUGCGCCCGCCCAAAAAUUGUACAUUUCUAUAGAUGGUAAAAUGUCAUUUGCUUGUAUCUCAUAAACUUCAAACAUAAUAAUUUAAAUGCUGUACUGUGAAAAUAAUUAGAAAUAAAUUAUUUAGUGAGUUUUUAGGUUUUUACUUUAUUUGAAUUUCUAGUCAAAACUCAAUAGCUUUUAAAUGUUAUGAAUUCAAGAGAAGACCUACAAUGUCCUCCACUCUCGCUUCCACAUUAAUUUUUACAUGUAGAAACACAUUUUUAAUAUUUCUGUUACAUUCUUAUGAUCACAGAGCCUUAUGGAGAAUUGUUACUUUUGUUACUCACCUCAUUUUGCCAAUUAUUGUCCAUUUAUAUUAUUGUUCAAAGUUAUGCUGUCUCUGAAGUAAUGAAAUUUACAUUCUAGAGAACAGAAAUGUCUGGAGUGAAGAGUGUUUCAAUCAAGUAUACGACCCUGAAUAUAACCUUGGCGUAGAGUUGACCCAGCCCGGUGCCUAGUCAUAGCGUGUAAUGCCUGAGAACACAGCAGAGCACAGGGAAUCAUCAGUCAGUACUUGUUGAAUGGGCCUUCUUCCUCCCUCCACCCACCCAGAAUCAGUGGGAAAAUUGUAACCACUUUUUCUCUACUUACAUAUAGCAAGGGCACUGCAGAUGUAUCAGACUGUCUCACAUUACAGGGAAAGAGGCCGAAGUAAAGUUCCAGGAAAAUGUUGGUGGUAUUUCAGAAAAAUGAGAACGUAUUUCUGAAUGUUAGAAAUGAGCAAAUUAAUUUCAGAGAAAAGGAAAUAUCCCUCCUGUCAUGAUUGCAAGUUUUAUGGCUGAAAAAAUACGAUUCACCAAGUUUCAAUAUUAUGUUAGUACCAAGAAAGCUUUUCCUGCGUUGGUAAAACUCUGAAUUGCUCACAUUCUUACUAUGUAUAUUACAAAAAUGUAAGAAGGGAUCUCCUUGUGAUAUUCUUUAAAAACGUAUUUUCUAUGUUCACCACUUUCGGUGCCAGGACGAAUGAAUGUGUGACUCUCUAGCUUCAGUAAUGGAGCUUCCUUGGUUGGUUCCUUUAAUUGGUUGGUUUUAAAUAAAGUUAUUGAGAAGCUCAAAGUAUGGUCGUUGGUUGAAGAAAGAUGUUUAACCCCUAGAAAAUAAGGAAAUAUCUCCUUUGUGGAACAUGUGGACCCAUUCUGAGAACUAUAAAGCAUUAAUGUCUCUAUAAAUAUCAUAAAGCAUUCAGAGUGAAAACUAUUUUUGGUUAGUAGCUUAUUAGGUCUCAGUUCCUGCAUGUGCUUUUGCAACAUAGUUAUUGGUCUUUUAUUAAGACCUAAAACUUCACUUAAUUACAUUGGGGUACAUUCAGAGCAUGAUUCCUGAUUACCCAAUAUAGUUCUGAGACUGAAAUUGUUGUAGUUUCAGUUAUACAUGAUCAAACAAAUAAUACUCUCACGUAACAUGUUUCAGGCUCCUCUUAAUUUCCUUUCCAUGCAGGCAUCUGGUUUUAAAUUUGGCUCCAUGUCAGUCUUGAAGGGCAGUAUUCAAAAGACCGGAGCCUGUCCCAGCUGCUGACCUUAGCCAGGGGAUGUCAGAACAGCAGGGCCAUGAAAUCCUCCAUCCAAGGACCACAAUAAUGUGCCAAAAGAUGAGGGUGACUUCACACCUCAGCUAAUUCACAUCUGCAAAGAGGGAAAACAAUUUGCAACUGAAUCCAGCCUCACUAAUACCAUCCUAGCAAAUUCUCCCCAUCAGCCAAUCUGGAGGCUACUGGCAAAGCCAGACUUUGUCUCAAGAGAUGUAGAUGUGGUAUAAUAUGCAAAUACAACAUGCUACAUGUUUAUUGGUUUGUCUGACAUGCUUAUAGAGUCUAUACAGCUAAUGAAUUAAAAUGAAUCUUGUGCUAAAAAGCAUCUAGUAGAAAAAUUAUGCAUACUUAAAAUUUAUACUGUUAGGAUAUACUCACCUUGGACAUACACGUAAUAGAAAUACUUUUACCAUUCAUAUAUUUAUUAAGUACCCUAUAUCACUGUGAUCUGAACUUUGUGAACACAGUGGGAUAAAUGUUAUUAUUGUUAGCUGAUGUCAGUAUUUAAAGAGAUCCUCAAAUAAAUUGUCAUGACAGAAAAAUAUAUUUAUUGUACACUCAGUAUAGAGCAAGCAAGAAUCUAGACUUUGAAGAGACAAUAGGCUACCAGACAAUCAGAAUCUUUGCUUUCAUGGAGUUUGGAGGUCUCUGUGUGUUUAAGUGUGUGUUGAGGGGGUGAUAGUCAGUAAACAGGUAAGUAAACAAUUAUGUAUAAAAUUAGUGACGAGAAUUAUCCAGAAAAUUAAAAUCGGGUCAUGUGACAGGGAGGAAUGGGUGUGUACUUUGGAAUAGUCAAGUAUUCAGGGAACAGGCUUUUGUAGAGAUAUUUAAAUUUAUUCAGACAAGAAGGCUUCAAGCAUUGGGUGGAUCUGGUACAGGAACAUUCUGGGUGGGGAGAAUAGCCUGUUCGAAAAUCCCAAGGCAGGAAUGAACUUGGCCUAUUCAAAGAACAGAUGAAAAGCUGUUUAGUAGCUGGAGAGUAGCAGGUGAUAGAGAGAGGGAAGGAGAAGAGGAGAGGGAGGGAGAAGUGAAUGAAAACAUUAAUUGCACUAACACUGUGAACUGUGUGUCUGGAGCUAUGCCAAGCACUUUGCAUCUAUAAACACAUUUCAUCUUUGUAAUAGCCUGCGAGGUGGUUUCUCGCAUUCUCUUCAUUUUGUAGAUAAAGAAACCAAGACAUAGAGCAAUAUAUAUAUAGAGAGAGCA